rnacentral:rRNA from 1 species
UAAUACGUAGGGUGCAAGCGUUAAUCGGAAUUACUGGGCGUAAAGCGUGCGUAGGCGGUUGUGCAAGACAGAUGUGAAAUCCCCGGGCUUAACCUGGGAACUGCAUUUGUGACUGCAUGGCUCGAGUGUGGCAGAGGGAGAUGGAAUUCCGCGUGUAGCAGUGAAAUGCGUAGAUAUGCGGAGGAACACCGAUGGCGAAGGCAAUCUCCUGGGCCUACACUGACGCUCAUGCACGAAAGCGUGGGGAGCAAACAGGAUUAGAUACCCUGGUAGUCCACGCCCUAAACGAUGUCAACUGGUUGUUGGAUGGCUUGCUGUUCAGUAACGAAGCUAACGCGUGAAGUUGACCGCCUGGGGAGUACGGCCGCAAGGUUG